ensembl:lncRNA
CUGAAGUGGGUGGCCAUUUCCUUCUCCAGGUGAUCUUCCCAACCCAGGAAUCAAACCCACAUCUCUUAUGUCUUGAGCACUGGUUCCAGCAUCCUCCUGCUGAUAGUUGUUCAACAGCUAGUUGUGAUUUUGGUGCUCUUGCAGGAAGACAUGAGCUUACGUUCAUCUACUCUGCCAUCUUGAACCAGAAGCUCCUCACAGUCUCACAUUUCAGACACUCUAUGAAGGCCUCUGUUUACAUAGCUGCUGGAGUGGGGAAACUCAUUCGAGUGUAAACCAGAAGUGCUCUGAAGGACAGCUCUUUUACUUGUGAAUGAUAGAACUGGAACUAUCAAGAGAUUAUUCACUGAGAUGUAAAACCAUCCAAAAGCUGCCUGGAGCAGGAGGGGUCAGAGAACACUCUGAAGACCAAAAGUACUGGAGGACUCGAAGAAUGAAAUGAUGAGGAGGUCAUACACGAAUUCCAGUCUUGAAGAUCCACAGGCAGAAUUGGGUUUGCAGGGCAGAUGAGCUCAAGGCGAGUAGAUAAAAUCUGUGGAAUACCA